CUGUAAAGGAGUUUGACUUGGUUAUGGGAAAACUGAGGGAUAGAGAAGUUAAUAGUCACUCAGCAGGCCAGUAGCAACAGAAUCCAGGUCUUCUAAGUCCCUGUACCAUGCUUUCUAGGCUACACUGCCUCUCAAAAGGCAAUUUCUGAUGAAGUGCAUUUUGUCAACAUACUGCUCUGUCUCCCUCCAAACUUAAGGUCAUCUUCACCUCUGCUGAAAAGUGAGAAGAGGAGACAUAUGAAUCCCAUCUUCAGCACUAGAAUUCUCAUUUGCUUCGGGUAGUUAAAUAGAGAGCCUUGUCCAAAGGAGCACAGAAAGAGAUGGCUACAGCUGCCUCACAUGGGUUAAGGAACAGCAGGACAAAAGGAUGGCUGUAGGCACACACCAACCUGAACAAGUCUGUGCUUAGCAUAGACAACAAUACAACAUGCAGUCAUUGGAGAGAUAAGGUGUGAGAAGGAAUCUCUCUCUAUAAAUAAAAAAAAACA